GACGAACGCUGGCGGCGUGCUUAACACAUGCAAGUCGUACGGUAAGGCCCUUUCGGGGGUACACGAGUGGCGGACGGGGGCGUAACACGAGAGUAACCUUCCCCCAACUUUGGGAUAACGCUAGGAAACUGGUGCUAAUACUGGAAAUGUGCUACUGCUGCAUGGUGGGGGUUGGAAAGCUCCGGCGGGUGUUGGUGGACUCGCGGCCUAUCAGCUUGUUGGUGGGGCGGUGGCCUACCAAGGCGGCGGCGGGUAGCCGGCCUGUGUGGGUGACCCGCCACCCUGGGACUGAGGUACGGCCCCGACUCCUACGGGAGGCAGCAGUGCGGAAUCUUGCACGAGGGGCGCCAGCCGGAUGCAGCAGCGCCGCGGGCGGGAUGACGGCCUUCGGGUUGAAAACCGAUUUCAGCAGGGACGAAGCUUUUUGUGACGGUACCUGCAGAAGAAGCACCGGCUAACUACGUG
rnacentral:rRNA from 1 species